AUUGAACGCUGGCGGAAUGCUUGACACAUGCAAGGCGAACGGCAGCACGGACUUCGGUCUGGUGGCGAGUGGCGAACGGGUGAGUAAUGUAGCGGAACGUGCCCAGUCGUGGGGGAUAACGUAGUGAAAAUUACGCUAAUACCGCAUACGAUCUAUGGAUGAAAGCGGGGGAUCGCAAGACCUCGCGCGAUUGGAGCGGCGGGUAUCAGAUUAGGUAGUUGGUGGGGUAAAGGCCCACCAAGCCAACGAUUUGUAGCUGGUAUGAGAGGACGACCAGCCAGACUGGAACUGAGACACGGUCCAGACUCCUACGGGAGGCAGCAGUGGGGAAUUUUGGACAAUGGGCGAAAGCCUGAUCCAGCCAUUACGCGUGCAGGAUGAAGGCCCUCGGGUUGUAAACUGCUUUUGUACAGAACGAAAAGGUUUCUACUAAUACUAUGAGCUCAUGACGGUACUGUAAGAAUAAGCACCGGCUAACUACGUGCCAGCCGCCGCAGUAA
rnacentral:rRNA from 1 species